rnacentral:rRNA from 1 species
GAUGAACGCUGGCGGCGUGCCUAAUACAUGCAAGUCGAGCGAACGGACGAGAAGCUUGCUUCUCUGAUGUUAGCGGCGGACGGGUGAGUAACACGUGGAUAACCUACCUAUAAGACUGGGAUAACUUCGGGAAACCGGAGCUAAUACCGGAUAAUAUUUUGAACCGCAUGGUUCAAAAGUGAAAGACGGUCUUGCCGUCACUUAUAGAUGGAUCCGCGCUGCAUUAGCUAGUUGGUAAGGUAACGGCUUACCAAGGCAACGAUGCAUAGCCGACCUGAGAGGGUGAUCGGCCACACUGGAACUGAGACACGGUCCAGACUCCUACGGGAGGCAGCAGUAGGGAAUCUUCCGCAAUGGGCGAAAGCCUGACGGAGCAACGCCGCGUGAUUGAUGAAGGUCUUCGGAUCGUAAAACUCUGUUAUUAGGGAAGAACAUGUGUGUAAGUAACUGUGCACAUCUUGACGGUACCUAAUCAGAAAGCCACGGCUAACUACGUG